UACGGGGGGAGCAAGCGUUGUUCGGAAUCACUGGGCGUAAAGGGCGCGUAGGCGGCCGAUCAAGUCGGGGGUGAAAGCCUGUGGCUCAACCACAGAAUUGCCUUCGAUACUGUUUGGCUUGAGACCGGAAGAGGUUAGUGGAACUGCGAGUGUAGAGGUGAAAUUCGUAGAUAUUCGCAAGAACACCAGUGGCGAAGGCGGCUGACUGGUCCGGUUCUGACGCUGAGGCGCGAAAGCGUGGGGAGCAAACAGG
rnacentral:rRNA from 1 species